rnacentral:rRNA from 1 species
UGCUUCCUACGCGACGCCGCGUGAGUGAGGAAGUAUUUCGGUAUGUAAAGCUCUAUCAGCAGGGAAGAAAAUGACGGUACCUGACUAAGAAGCCCCGGCUAACUACGUGCCAGCAGCCGCGGUAAUACGUAGGGGGCAAGCGUUAUCCGGAUUUACUGGGUGUAAAGGGGGCGCAGACGGCAGCGCAAGCCAGGAGUGAAAGCCCGGGGUCCAACCCCGGGACUGCUCUUGGAACUGCGCGGCUGGAGUGCAGGAGGGGCAGGCGGAAUUCCGGGUGGAGAGG